rnacentral:rRNA from 1 species
CCAGACUCCUACGGGAGGCAGCAGUGGGGAAUAUUGGGUAAUGGACGCAAGUCUGACCCAGCAACGCCGCGUGAAGGAAGAAGGCUUUCGGGUUGUAAACUUCUUUUAAGGGGGAAGAGCAGAAGACGGUACCCCUUGAAUAAGCCACGGCUAACUACGUGCCAGCAGCCGCGGUAAUACGUAGGUGGCAAGCGUUGUCCGGAUUUACUGGGUGUAAAGGGGGCGCAGACGGCAGCGCAAGCCAGGAGUGAAAGCCCGGGGCCCAACCCCGGGACUGCUCUUGGAACUGCGCGGCUGGAGUGCAGGAGGGGCAGGCGGAAUUCCUGGUGUAGCGGUGAAAUGCGUAGAUAUUAGGAGGAACACCAGUGGCGAAGGCGGCUUACUGGACUGUAACUGACGUUGAGGCUCGAAGGCGUGGGGAGCAAACAGGAUUAGAUACCCUAGUAAAU